rnacentral:rRNA from 1 species
UACGGAGGGAGCUAGCGUUAUUCGGAAUUACUGGGCGUAAAGCGCACGUAGGCGGCUGUGUAAGUUAGAGGUGAAAGCCUGGAGCUCAACUCCAGAAUUGCCUUUAAGACUGCAUCGCUUGAAUCCAGGAGAGGUGAGUGGAAUUCCGAGUGUAGAGGUGAAAUUCGUAGAUAUUCGGAAGAACACCAGUGGCGAAGGCGGCUCACUGGACUGGUAUUGACGCUGAGGUGCGAAAGCGUGGGGAGCAAACAGG